AUUGAACGCUGGCGGCAGGCCUAACACAUGCAAGUCGAACGGAGUGGCGGACGGGUGAGUAAUGUCUGGGAAACUGCCUGGUAGGGGGGGAUAACGUCGGGAAACGGGCGCUAAUACCGCAUCCUAUCAGAUGAGCCUAGGUUGGUUUCGCUAGUUGGUGGGGUAAGGGCCUACCAAGGCGACGAUCCGUAACUGGUCUGAGAGGAUGAUCAGUCACACUGGAACUGAGACACGGUCCAGACUCCUACGGGAGGCAGCAGUGGGGAAUAUUGGACAAUGGGCGAAAGCCUGAUCCAGCCAUGCCGCGUGUGUGAAGAAGGUCUUCGGAUUGUAAAGCACUUUAAGUUGGGAGGCGUUACCAACAGAAUAAGCACCGGCUAACUUCGUGCCAGCAGCCGCGGUAAUAC
rnacentral:rRNA from 1 species